rnacentral:rRNA from 1 species
AGGACGAACGCUGGCGGCGUGCUUAACACAUGCAAGUCACGGGGGUCCCGCAAGGGAUAACCGGCGAACGGGUGCGUAACACGUGAACAACCUGCCCUCGUGUGGGGGAUAGCCAUGCUAACGCGUGGGUACUACCGCAUACGUUCCUCGCGAGGAGUCUCGUGGGGAGGAAAGCUCCGGCGCGACGGGGAGGGGUUCGCGGCCUAUCAGCUAGUUGGCGGGUAAUCGGCCCACGAAGGCGACGACGGGUAG